AAGAAAAGAACAAAGAUGAGUCAGGAGUAUGAGAAAACAUCUUCUAGGUUCCCAUUCAAGAAAUAUGAUUGUAUAAGAUAAUUAUUAUACAUGGAGAUUUGGUUCAAGGUGGGAGGGAUACUGUCAAGACCGUGCCCCCAGGGAAUGAAGUGUAAUCUCUGCCACCU